CAGACAUUCACAAAUCCUUUCCUAUUCCUCUGAUCUACAGCUGGACCCCAUCCUCUAAGCAAACUUAAGCACAUUGUAUUCUAAUCAUUGUUUUCUUGUACUCACACGUCACAUAUUUUUCCCUAAAGAAUAAAGCCUUUAAGCUGUAAUUCUGGAAAUAUGACUUAAAUCAUGAGCAGCUAAAUACAAGUAUGUGCAGCAUGCUUCCAUGCUCCAAACAAAAAGGACAAUCUACCAAAUUUAAGAACAGAGGAGCUGAUUAUACAGUUUCCAAAUUGUAAGCAAUUGGAGUGGAUGAUAAUGUAGCUCCUGACUGACUUUUCUGACUUCGAAGUUUGCUGGAACAUGUCGAACAAAUAACAGCUUUGACAAUCAUGCUACAUAAUUAAAUAGAAUAUAUCAUUACAUUAAAAAUUACACAUUUGGAUAUAAGGUGGUUUUCCACUCCCUUUUAUUAUUUCCUAUAUCCCCAUUUUUAUUUAAAUAAUAUAAUUUACUGUAUUAUUGCCUGUGGUGAUCAAUUUUACCCAUAUUUACCAUGUUAAGGCCUUACUUGAGGGUUGUUGGAAGUGCCCAAAUUUUGUGGAAAUAGUUUAGCAGAUGAAGUCAUAAUGUGUAAUAGUGUGUGGUGUCGGUGCAUACAUGCAGUCUUUGACCAGCAGACUGUGCUCCCUGCCUCGUCUCUCAGGCUCAUACAGCAACUAGAACUUCCUGAGCAGCAACGCCCCCUGCAGUUUGUAGGUCAGGCCCAGCACUACUUCACUCCAACAUGUUCAGGGUGUGGCUGAUCUCAAAAGUCUCCAUCAAGAACAGAUGUAAUAGAUGCUGCAAUGACAUGUAUAAGAGUUUUGCUUAAUCAACGUAAUCUAUAGAUGAAACAGACCCCUGUCACUGUAAAACUGAUGCAGUUUCAUCUGUUCAUUAGUUCAUCACUGAAUGAUGAAGCUGUGGUGGACCACUAGAGGGCUCCACUCACACCCAGUGUUGAGGAAGUGUGUUCUUCUGUUUUGUGGCGCGAUAUGUGCAGUUGAUGUUGGAGACAAAUAAAGAAGGAGUGUGAA
rnacentral:lncRNA from 1 species